rnacentral:lncRNA from 1 species
UCAAGAGCAUAGCGUAACUCCGUGCUUGUUACGCAAAUAUACACAUGCAAAAUGAUCAAUUGACAAAGAAAGUUCUCCGUUAGUACACAGAAAAAAAAUCUGAAUAUUAUCCAUAGUAGAAUUACAAAAAAUCGUUGAAAGUAGGUACUCGUAUUCGUACAUCAGACGUAAAAAUAAGCGUUUCGUAAUGCACACGCAUCUUCCCCAGAAGUAAUUUGAAACUACGCCAAUGUUUUGAUUUGUCUUCCAAUGUAUUUAAAUUUGUGUGUUGCGCAUUGAGAUUUUAGCAAACUAUGCUUUAAUUUUACACGAACAGAGCGUGACCGAGAUUGCCGCUGGUGCGGCCUCUGCAACCUCCGCAGCAGCAGGCAGCCAUAUUGAAAAUGUGUUUGCAACGUAUUGUGAAGGAGGUUUGUGGCAGCAGACAGUGCGUAAAACAUAUACGGAACAUACAUUUUUCGAGCGAUUGUCCUGGGAGAAAGCGGUGCAACUGUGAGGUGCUUGACGGAGAGUUAAUAAGUGUAGUGCUCAAUAAUUUGUGAUUUAAUGAAGAAAUAAAUAGUGUUUUCAUUCAAA